GCUAGUGUAGCUCAACGGUAGAGCAACGGUUUUGUAAACCGUAGGUUGUGGGUUCAAAUCCCUCCACUAGCU
rnacentral:tRNA from 1 species